CCUACAAUGUGCUUCUCAGAAACUGGUUUCCUUGAAUAGAUAUGUUUGGGAAAUAAUGAAAAAGACAUAUUCCUUCUGGGCAUUCACACCCGACAGUAGCCUAUGAAAGGCUCUGAUAAGUUCUGCAUUAAAAAAAAAAUCUUAAUUUAAAGCAUUUCCCACAUAUAUUUGACUGGAGACCCUCAAUUUUGGGGGGACAAAAAUCUAAUAAUAUUUUUCAGCAAUGUUUUAAGGGGCAUAAUUUGAGGGGAAAAAAUAAGACCUAACCCAAUCUCUUUUUUUUUUUUUUUUACAACAAAACAAAACAAAACACACACUUGAAGCUCAGAAUGAGGACUUGACUUCCUCAAGAUCAAAGAGCUUGUGAGGAAGUUACAGCCUGCACCAGAUCCUACGGAAUGUGCACAUUUCUCUAAACAUCUCAGCUGGGAUCAUCAUCCCCUGGAGCAUGCGGCCCAUCAUGGAGGAGGAGGCCCUGAAGUUUCCAACUUUAUCCUU
rnacentral:lncRNA from 1 species